CACAUUUCUGCAAGAAGGCAGAUGAGGAGUAGCAGGAAUCUUAGGAACACUGGGCUUCUGCACUGCCUGGGUGCUCUUGGCCACUGACUCAACAAAGGUGAACUCUUGAGAGGCAGCCAAGGUGGUGUUCCUGGUCCUUUUAUAGUCUGGAAGGUGUGAGUCACAGUGAUUAGGUACACCUGAGUGAUAAGCUCCUAGAGGGAGUGUGAUAGAAUGGGGAAGGAAGGAAGUAGCCUAAUCUUGGCUGCUAGAUUCUGAUGUUGGGAAGACUGAGGCCUCAAAUGCUUUUUUUGAGUUUCCUUUAAUUCUUUCCAGUAUGGGAAUUGCUGAAACCCUUGGGCACUGGGAAGAAAGAAAUAGAAGGAAAGGUGGGCAGUUCUUUCUCUGAAAAUGUUAUUCAGGGAAAUGAUCAGAAGGAGAGAAUUCAGGAAUGGGACGUUAAAGGAAUGCUACAAAGAUUUGUAUAUUUAGAUCACCUGCUAUUAAAUCAAGAUCAGGUAGGUAGAGGACUAGCCUUGGAGGACCUGAGUUCAAAUCCAGCCUCAGACACUUAUUGGGAAAGUAACUUAACCAUGGGGUCAAGAAGAGCUGGACAUGACUGAAAUGAUUGAAAAACAGUUGUUUAAUCGGUCACAGCUCAGUACUGUGGAAAGGGUCCUGGAUUUAAGACAAGAAGUCCCAGAACAAUGGAAAGAAUGCUGCCUGGAGUUAGAGGGUCUACCUUCAAAUCCUGCCUCUGAAACUUAUUACCUGUAUGACCUCAGGAGGACAUGGAGCUGAUAUGCGGAGAGAAUGUUGAAAAUGACCUCCUGUGUCACAGUGUUGCUGGAUGACCUUUAUCAAGGUGACAAGGGAAUGGGAAUCUCUUCAUCACUGCCAUUCUGUUCAGAGUGAAGCAGCUGAACAGUUCAAUCAGUGCCUGUCCUGUAUCUGCUUUGUGUGUGGGUUCUUUGGGGGAUACAAGAGAUAGCCAUGAAACAGCAUGGUGGAGAGAGAAGAAAGAUAUACUGAGAGACAGGAUAUGUGGAUCUAAAUCUUGGCUUUGCCACUUGCCUACCAAGUGGACAUGAAUGAGCAAGUCAUUUCAUUUAAUUGACACUCAUUUUCUUUGUUUGUGAAAUCAAGAUAAUAAUACUUAAUACCACUGGCCUCAUAGGGGGAUGUAGACAAGAAAGUAAACCAAAGAUUCCUGGUUUAGGGGAAAAAGUGCUAGCCUGGGAAGAAGGAGAGAAGAGCUUCAGACAAGGGAUAUAUCAAGUGUGUCCUAUGGGAGUUUGAACUAUGUAUUUUUUAGUUGAAGAAAUAAGAUAAGAAAAUGACAUGGUCUAUAUAUUGUUCAGUUGGAGAAUGUCAGUGGGACGACUUCUCCUUUGGGAUUAGUCAUAAGAUUCAUAGAGUCACAGAAUUUGAGUCCUUUGAGAUCUUUUCUGAAAAAAAAAAAAAAACAACAACAACCCAA
rnacentral:lncRNA from 1 species